AUAAAUAACAGUUACCUAUAUAAUUUAGAUUUAGAUCAAACAUUUAAAAAACACUGUGAAGAUCUAGAAUAAAUAUAAAACAAGUUUUAAGUAAUUUUCAUUAAUAGGGUAAUAUCAAAUCUAUAUUAGUAAAAGUAAUCACACAAACUUAGUUAAUUUCAAAAUACUAUGUGGCUUAUGUUAACAGAUAAUUAUUGAAAAUUUAUUGCACAUAUGAAGUACAGUACAACCCCGAUAAGUCGGCCCCCGUCAACCCGGACCGAUUUUCAAUUAAAAAAUAAAAUAUCAGACAAACAUUUCAAUAAUAAAAACGUAAUAUAAUGUGGUAUAGUAUCCGUGAAUCUAUGUUGCAUCAGUAUUUUAUGGGACUGUAUGAUAGUGAUUGUGUGACUCAUGGCACACGGCAGCCGAGUGGCGGUUAUUGUCCCAGACUAUGUUGCAUCAGUAUUUUAUGGGACUGUAUGAUAGUGAUUGUGUGACUCAUGGCACACGGCAGCCGAGUGGCGGUUAUUGUCCCAGACUAUGUUGCAUCAGUAUUUUAUGGGACUGUAUGAUAGUGAUUGUGUGACUCAUGGCACACGGCAGCCGAGUGGCAGUUAUUGUCCCAGAUUCUCUGAAACAAUAACAGGCGCGUAUUUCCCCAAACCCUCUCCCACGCUACCGCCACGCCUGGCCCCUCAGUACCGUUCCUACCUCGCUCCGCUCGCUUGUGCCCGUGUUGUGUGUGUAGUGUACUGUAUUGUUUGCUUCUGUUCUGCAAUCGUGCUUCAGAUAGUGUGCUUCAUUUGUGUUGUGCGUUUGUUUUUAUCUACGCGAUGGCAACAAAACGUAAAAAUGUUGUAGUGACAAUGGAAAAGAGACUAGGGGCAUUAGGUAGGAUUGAUAAAGGCGAAUCUUUAAAAACAAUUGUAGCAUCUUAUGGUGUCGGUACAUCUACAGUAUCGGAUUGAAAAAAAAAUAGGACAAAAAUCAAAGAAUUUUGUUUCAAGAUGAUAACAAAAGACAGUUUGGGCAAUCGGUGCAAAGCUAAGAAAGCUAAAAACGAGACUCUUAACGACGCUUUGUAUGUUUGGUUUUGUGCGGAAAGGGAACGUAGUUUGCCAGUGUCUGGGUCUAUCAUUCAAGAAAAGGCAAUCAAGCUGAAUAAACAGUUGCCUGAUUGUGAACCAAAUUUUACUGCGAAUCAAGGAUGGUUGGAUAGGUGGAAAUAACGGCAUGGUAUUCGCCAACUAUCUAUCACAGGAGAAAGUCUAUCUGGGGACAACAGCACUGCUGAUGACUAUAAAAACAAGUUUUUGGAUUUUGUUAAAGAAUAAAAUUUAACGGCAGAUCAAAUAUAUAAUGCCGAUGAGACGGGUCUGUUUUACAGAAUGUUGCCGAGCAAAACUUUGGCCUCAAAUACUGAAAAAUACGCAAAGGGGUACAAAAAAAGCAAAGGCCGAUUGACAAUAAUGGCCUGCAGCAAUGCUUUGGGGAAGCAUAAAUUUCCUCUACUCUUAAUAGGAAAAGCAAAAAAUCCGCGAGCACUGAAAAACGUAAAUUGAGAUUCUCUACCAGUUGUCUACAAGUCUCAAAGAAGUGCAUGGAUGGACAGCAACACUUUUAAAAACUGGUUUUUUGAUUGUUUUGUGCCAGGUGCGACGAAAUAUUUAAAAGAUUGUGGGUUGCCAAUUAAAGCUGUCCUACUAAUUGAUAAUGCUCCUUCACAUCCAUCUGCAGAUGUGCUGGUCAGUGGGGACAUUACCGUCAAGUUUUUGCCGCCUAAUGUAACAGCGCUAUUACAGCCCAUGGAGCAGGGGGUUCUCGAGAAAAUCAAGAAGGUUUACAGAAGACAGAUGCUAAGCACAAUCAUUGACAAUGAAGGAGAACACGGUGUAGUUGAGAUUCUCAAAACAUUUAAUGUGAAAACUGUAAUGUACAUGAUUGCAGAAUCGUGGGAACAAGUGACUAGAAUCGGCUUAAUUAAAUCUUGGAAAAAACUGUGGAAGGGUGUAUGUGACUUGCCUGAAAAUAUAAUUCAACCAGUGGGGAACUGGAAAAGGAAAAAUGACUCUAGACCAGGGGUUCCCAAACUGGGGUACGUGAGCAGGACCACGCCAGUUUGCUAUUAUGUUCCGGCUGAUGCGAGGGAAAUUUCGGGUUGCGGGAAAAGCGAGGAAAGUUUUGUUUUGCGCGACGAGUGGCUACAUCACUGACGCUCUCCACCUUCUAGUUUCUUUGUCAGUUUGUCUAUCGUCUGCUAGUCUGCAAAGUGUGUGGUUUUAAGCGUGUGUCAUACUGCCACAUUAUUCGUGUUAUUUUAUUCACUAUUUCAUAGACAGUGUUUGUUAUAGUAAUAUGGAUAUGUGGUUAAGCAAGUCUUCAAACGUUAAGAAAAAGCAAAGAGUUUCAUCAUCACUUGAAGAAGGUUAUUUUACUCUUGUACCUAGUACGUCUUCAUCAAAAGAUCAAGGUUCUUCUGUGUGUUCUGCGAAGCCAUUAGGUAAACAAACGUGCGUACAAAAAAGGCGUAAAUAUGAUACCAGCUACUUUUCUUACGGAUUUACUUAUAAUGAAGUCCAUGACAAUAAAGUUAGGCCACAUUGUGUAAUUUGUUUGGAAACACUUUCUCACCAUGCAAUGAAACCAUCUCUUUUAAAACGUCAUUUCCUAACAAAAUGCGAAAAUUACAAAGAUAAACCAUCAAUUUUUUUUCAAAAAUAAGGAAGCUUCAUUAAAAGGCAGCAAGACAAAUAUUAAUUUUUUUACCAGUUUGAAUUUAAAAGCGGUUGAGGCUUCCUAUACAGUUAGUCUUAGAAUUGCUCAAGAGGGCAAACCACAUACCAUUGGGGAAACACUGAUACUGCCAGCAACUAAAGACAUUGUGUCAACCAUGUUAGGAAAAAAUGGGACUAAACAGAUUGAUUCACUUUCGCUUUCUAACAAUACAGUUUUAAGAAGAAUAAGUGACAUGGCUGCUAAUGUAAAGGAAACAUUACUCAUGAAAAUAAAAAAGCAAAUAUUUUGCUAUUCAAAUUGAUGAAACAACUGACGUAACUAACAUGGCUCAGCUAAUAUGUUAUGUUAGGUACGAAGAUGGAAAUACUGUCGGAGAAGACAUGUUAUUUUGCCAAAACUUGCCUUCACACCCAAAUGCAAAUGAAAUAUUUGGAAAAUUAGACACAUUUAUUUGAGAAAACGAGUUGAACUGGAAAAAAAUGUGUAGGAAUUUGCACAGAAGGGGCAAAUGCAAUGGCUGGAGUUCAUAAGGGAAUUGUUACUCAAGUGCAGCAAGUAAGCCCAAAGGCUAAGUUUAUUCAUUGUAGUCUUCACCGAGAAGCCUUGGUUACAAAGAGAUGUGAUGAAAUGGAUAGUAUUCACAAACAAUUACUUCUGCACACGGAAGUAAGGUGGUUGUCGAGAGGAAGAGUGAUACCUCGAGUUUUUGAACUUCGUCAUGAAAUAUUGAUUUUUCUAUCCGACACAGACUUUCAGUAUCGUGACCGUUUUUCAGAUGAAUUCUGGUUGAGCUGAUUGGCUUAUUUGGCAGACAUAUUCAGUAUGUUAAAUGAUGUUAACAGGAAACUACAAGGAAGCUAUAACACCCCAUUCCAAGUUAUGGACAAAAUCAAUAGUGUGAAACUAAAACUAAGAUUUGCAGAAGGGGAAGCAAAGAAAAGCCAAGUGUUAUUGUUCCCAUCUCUUGAAUCUUUUAUUAAAGAAAACGAAAUUCUCCUGAGUCAAACAAUUUUGAAUGACAUAUCAGAUCAUUGUAGCUCCCUCCAAGCUAGCUUUACAAAAUACUUUCAAGAAGAUCUGAGUUCAUACUCGUGGAUUAAAAACCCCUUUACUGAAAUUGAUAAAAUUGUUCCAUCAGUUUUUCUCUGAACCUCAAAGAGGAACUUUUUGAGUUAACUGACUGCGGUUCGGAUCUGAAAGAAGUAUUUAACAAAACCACUCUUAUUGAUUUUUGGAUCACACGACGCUCAGGGUUUGGUGAAAUAUAUAACAUUUGUAUUUGAAUACAUUACGGAUCUGUUAUUCUUAUUGCAUUUUAUCUUUGAAAUUCAGAUUUUAUCACAUACGAGUGAUUAUAAUUGCAUAUGAAACGAAAAUAAAAAAGGCAAACUAAUGAUGCAUGUAUAAUUUAAAAUAUAUGUGUUAUGGGCCAAGGGGUACGCCAUAAUACAUAGUACAAACUAAGGGGUACGUCACCAUAAAAGUUUGGGAACCGCUGCUCUAGACGAUGUCCAGCCCCAAGAACUUUUGGAUAUGUUCCAAAAUAUUGAUGGCUGCUCUGAAGUCGAUGAAAAUGACAUUACUCUGUGGUUAGGGGCAGACAAUAACGAAGGCUAUGAGCCACUUACUGACAAGGAAGUGAUCACGUCGUUUUUACCUGAUGCUAAUGAAUCAGACGCUGAGGAGGCAGACGGGGAUAUUGAAGAUCCAGUGAUGAGUCAUGGAGAUGCAGUGACCAAACUAAACGAACUAAUGGUUUAUUUCGAGUGGCAGGCAGAAACAACGCCGGCUGAAUUGCUCAUGUUGAAGAGACUGCGGGAUCGCACAGCACGCAAGCGGCAGACGACAUUGGCACAACCAAAGCUGACUGAGUUUUUUAUCAGGAAAUGAACAGUUAUAAAUGUACUGUAAGGAUUAAUAAUAAUUAAAUGUACAUAUGUUUUUACAAUUAUAAUCGAGUUUAUCUGUAAGUAUACCGUAUUUUAUUAAUUUUACCUAAUUAAUUUAAAUUUUACCGGCUAACCCGGAUUUUCGUUAACUCGCAUCGGCCGAGGUCCUGAUUAAUCCGACUUAUCGAGGUUCCACUGUAUAGAUUAAUAAUAAUCAAAAAUGUACUACUAUAAAUUUACAUAAUUUUACAAUACAAAUUCUUGUCGCCUAUUAUCAUGGAAAGUCUAAGGAUGGUUGCUUUGAAUAACAGUUGAAGUUUCUUUUUAGUUAUCUUUUAAAAUUUUAUUUAUUUUAAAUUUUACAUGGUUAAAUACACCAAUCCUCAAACCCAGUUAGUGUGGUUUCAAAUCUUGUCCGACAUGAGCCAUUACCAUUUGGUCCACCUUAUUUGAACAAAAUAUUUCCUUCAUACAGUGGAUUUCACAGAUCUACGGGGAGUGCACAGAAAAUGUCUAAAAAGGAUGAUAUUCAACAUGAUAUUGAACAUUUUGUGUAAUAAAGGAAUCUUAAAUAAUACUAAAAUUUUACUGUGACAGAGGUAAGUGGCAUUUAAAGGUAAUCAUUGACCAAUCUCAACCUUAUUUCUAUUUAUUUUUUCCAGGUACUGAUGAUACUUUAUUGAAGUGGUUACAGAUAUUUUUACAGUCAUUGGUUUUUUGUUUUACAUUUUAUCCAAUGUUAACAUCACUUACAACUUUAUUUUGAUGUUUUACUAUUUUUGAAGGUAUACAUUAAUAUUGUAAAAGACAUGUAAACUACCAAUAAAAAGUGUCAUUGUUGUAAAAUAUAAACUGUUUUGUUACUCCAAAUAUAUUUUAUUUUUAUUA